UACAGAGGGGGCAAGCGUUAUUCGGAAUUAUUGGGCGUAAAGGGCGCGUAGGCGGCUUGGCAAGUGGAUGGUGAAAUCCCUCGGCUUAACCGAGGAACUGCCGUCCAAAACUGCUUCGCUUGAGACGGGAGAGGUGAGUGGAAUUCCCAGUGUAGCGGUGAAAUGCGUAGAUAUUGGGAGGAACACCAGUGGCGAAGGCGGCUCACUGGACCGAUACUGACGCUGAUGCGCGAAAGCGUGGGGAGCAAACGGG
rnacentral:rRNA from 1 species